AUGCUUGGUGGAAAGUUAGUAGCCUCCUCGGACUCCCCCCGCCAGAGCGAGGCGGGCAGGGAAGAGGAGAGGUUGUUCCUGUGGCACGUGACGCCCAGGCCGCCUCUGAGGAAAACCGACUCGCAAAAUGGCGGCGGCGGCGGCAGCUUUGGAACGUACUUCUCCAUCUCACAGGGCAGCGGCGGAAGCCAUCGUGGUGGUCGUCGGCGGGAAGUGAGGUUUUCUGAGGAAGUAAUCGAGCACUCGACCCCGAAGACUACGCCGAGCCCGUACGGCUUUUCUAUGUCGGGAAGACGGCUUACCAGAAAGGCUGCGAAAGAUGAAAAAGAGGCGGCGGCGGCGGCUGCAGCAGAAGAAAAGGAAGAAGAACGUAGCAUGGGGUUCCAACCGGAAUUGCUGGCCGAGAAGGAAGCAAGGACCGAGCAGCAGCAGCCCAGAGAGGAGCUACUAGCUGGAUCUUUCAAAGAAAAUACUAACAUUGAAAUGUCGGGUGUCAUUCUCACUCGACCGCCUAUUAGGACUUCAAGAGAAGGUAAUCCUCCUUCCCUGCCUGUAACUCCUGAGCUCAAGAGAACUUUGAGAGGUUCUUUUUCAGAUUCAGUGCAGAAUUUGGAAGAAUUAAAGCACAGAAAACAAGCAAAGGCUGACAUAAUAUUAGGGGAUCACAGAAUCCCAAACCGUGAGAAGCUCAGUGCUGUACAGAAGAAGGAUCUACAGGCUGCUUUAAAAAUUUCUAAACCUGAAAGAAGAUACUCACUUACAGCAAUUGUGAUAUUCGUGGCAAUUUGCAUUGUUGCUGGUGGAUGGUAUAUAUUUUGGCAUUCAUCAAUCCAUGCUUCGGAAAUUGAUUAUAAAGUUCUACAAACAUUUAAAAACCAAAUGAAAGAGCUCAGGAACACCUAUCCAAGUCAAGAUGCAAUAGUGUGGAACAGAAUCCAAGCAGCACAAAAUUUUGCUACUGCACGAGUGGUGCAUGGAUUCAAAUACUGAAGAAGAUGAAAGACAAUGGAAGUGUCAAAAUUGCUCACUGAAAGAGGCGCUAGAAUUGCAAAUUCAGGAGCUUACCAAUGCAAAUCUCCAACUGGUGAAACAAAAAGAUAAACUCUGCGAAGAGUAUGAGGAAAAGCUCAGCAGGUGAGAAAAUUUUAGAUAGCAACCCUGACUUUCUCUUCCUUUCCCAGCUAUUUUAAUUAGUUUUAAUUUUAAAUAAGUGUUAUGAUUCAAAUUAAAAAAAACCUGAGGGGGCUGAUUUCACUCUACUCUUGAUAUUUUACAGGGAAAAUAGCUCAGAUGAGUCUGGGCAGCUGAACAAACUCAGACGGGAGAAUGAGAAUCUCAGCUGCAACGUUCAAAAAUUCACUGGAGAAAAAGCAGAGCUCCUAUGAGAAAAUAAUGACCUUAAAGAAGAACUUUAUAGGACAAAAAUAUUUAAAUGGCAAUCUUGACAUUUUUUUUCAAAUUCAAAUUUAUUUAUUAGAGCCCUUAGGCCAGAAACACGGAAUAAAAGAAAUAUUCUAUUCUCUCAUGUGUAUGUAUAAAUGAAUAAGAGAAGAGCAAAAGGUAUAAUGCAAUGCAAAAAUAAUUAGGAAUGUAGGUAUGCUUAGUAAUUCAAGUAAAAAAUUAAGAGGGCUGGUCCUCAAAAUUUACAGAAAGACAACAAUGAUGUUGAAACUGACAUUAGAAAAAGAAGAGCUUCGAAUCAAGACCGAGAUGCUGACAUUCAAAAAUCUUCAAAUAAGUGAUAAGAAAGAGGCGCUCUGCAGAAAAUACGAAGGAAGACUGUGGAGGUGAUAAAUUUUUAGAUAGGCAUCAUGGUGUUCUGUUCCAGAAUUUCAUAUUAAGUUCUCCUGAUCUUAGAAAGCUUGGAAAAACCUGAAAAUCUCCUUACAUUACAAAGAAAUUAAUGAAUUAUGGCUCAUUAUAUGUUUACAAAAACAAAUCCAGGAGUUAAUCUCAUGAAAGUGAAUGGGAAGAAACGUAUAGGAGAGAUCUUUCAACCUCCAAUCUCCUUCAGAAUAUACACACACACACACAUGCACCCAUGAAGGUAUUUUUAAUGUGUUUUAAUUGAAGAAAAAGAGUGAUAAUUCAAGUAAAAAAGUUAUUUUUUUACUAAGGGAGCUAAUUUCUCUCUGGCCAUCAUAAUUUGCAGAAAGACAAUGGAAAUGUCAAAAUUGCUGACAGAAAAAGAGGAGCCUGAAUUAAAAAUUCAGGAGCUUUUGUGAGAAGUGAGAACUUUCCCCAUAUCCUACAUUCAUAACUUUACGUUACUUCUGAAAAUCAUUUUACAUUUGUUUGUGCCUUUGUGCUAUUUUUAAUGUGUUGUAAUUGAAUAAAAGGUUGAUAAUUCAAGCAAAGAAACUUAAGGGCUAAUUUCUCUCCGAUUUUCAUAAUUUGCAGAAAGACAAUGGAAGUGUCAAACUGCUGACAGAAAAAGAGGAGCUAGAAUUGAAAAUUCAGGAGCUUACAAAUAAAAUCUCCAACUGACCUAAGAAAAAGAAGAACUCUGUGAAGAACGUGAAGAAAAGCUGAGUAG
rnacentral:lncRNA from 1 species